GAAAGGUUGCUUUACGCCAAAAGCGACUGGGUGUUUUACCGAGGCACCCCAAUUAGG
rnacentral:ncRNA from 1 species